UAAGUCUGAUGUGAAGCCCUGGGCUCAACCAUACAGGCUAUUAUCCGAACUGGCUAACUCGAGAAUGGUAGAGGUAACUGGAAUUUCUUGUGUAGGAGUGAAAUCCGUAGAUAUAAGAAGGAACACCAAUGGCGUAGGCAGGUUACUGGACCAUUUCUAACGCUAAGGCACGAAAGCGUGGGGAGCGAACCGGAUUAGAUACCCGGGUAGUCCACGCUGUAAACGAUGGAUACUG
rnacentral:rRNA from 1 species